UACGUAGGUGGCGAACGUUGUCCGGAUUCACUGGGCGUAAAGGGUGCGCAGGCGGCCGGGUGUGUCAGAUGUGAAAUCCCGAGGCUUAACCUCGGAACUGCGUCUGAAACUACUCGGCUAGAGUAUUGGAGAGGGUAACGGAAUUCACGGUGUAGCAGUGAAAUGCGUAGAUAUCGUGAGGAACACCAGAGGCGAAGGCGGUUACCUGGACAAUUACUGACGCUCAGGCACGAAAGCAUGGGGAGCAAAAGGGAUUAGAUACCCCUGUAGU
rnacentral:rRNA from 1 species